ACACGUAAGUUGCGAGCGUUGUUCGGAAUUAUUGGGCGUAAAGGGCAUGUAGGCGGUUUUGCAAGCUUGGGGUGAAAUCCCGGAGCUUAACUCCGGAAUUGCGUUGAGAACUGCAUAACUAGAGUCACUAAGGGGCAAUCAGAAUUCCAGGGGUAGGGGUGAAAUCUGUAGAUAUCUGGAAGAACACCGGUGGCGAAGGCGGACGUCUGGCCAUGUACUGACGCUGAGGCGCGAAGGUGCGGGGAGCGAACAGGUUUAGAUACCCUGGUAGUCCGCACAGUAAACGAUGUGCACCAGGUGGCGGGGGGUAGCCCUCGGUACCGAAGCCAACGCAUUAAGUGCACCGCCUGGGGAGUAUGCUCGCAAGGGUGAAACUCAAAUGAAUUGACGGGG
rnacentral:rRNA from 1 species